AAGGCUAAAAAUGCGUAAAUUAUAAGCAACAGUCAUGAAAUUUACGACUCUUCAGUCUUCACUGUUUAAGCUUAUUCAGGCAAAGAGUUCUAUCACCACUCUGACCACCUUAUUUUCUCACGUUGUCAACCCAUAGAGAGAGUGAUAAUGGGUCAAUUUUGGUCUCUUUUCCAAAAAAUUUAAGAUUUUUUGAUGCAUUAGUAACAAAUAAAUAAAUAGAUAAAUAAACGAUGGGAUUGUAUGUUAUUCGAGUAAAUCAAGUCCGAAUAUGACCACUUACACGCAUAUAUGUUUUUAACUUCAAGUAAGGUAAGGAAAAUGAUUCAUAAUUAACCUUAUUUUCGGCUAUAUAAGUUUAGCUUUUCAAUUCAUGUAGCAAAUGCAGCAUAUAAAUGAUUUUUAUUUUAAUUAACCUUUUGGAAUGAUUUAAUUAUUUUUUUACUUUGUUUUUUGUUCUUUAAUUUUUCACUUUUCCAGAUUUUGACCUUGUUUUUUUUUUCCCAUAACAACUGUCUAUCUCUUUUUCUGUACUCACACUUUCUCUCUCCUCUCUGUUUUUUGUGCUUAUUUUACACUCUUCACCAUUGUUGCUAUUCUUCACCAUUUUUUUAUUUUAAAUUACUUUUUCUGUAAUCUGAAUUGGGUUUCUCGGUACUGUAAUUUUACUGUCAGUCAAUUCUAGAAAUCUGAAUUGGGUGACAAAAAUAUUAAUUGGGAGUAUUGGUAGUUUGGUACUACAGUUUUUUUUUGUGUAUAUAUAUAUUUUUUCGUAUUGCAAUAUCUCUUACCUACAACACAUCAAUCUCUCCCAAAUUUUGUCCUUCUGUUGGUCAUUGUAGUAGCUUGCUCGUAUACAAUCUCGUCGACAGAGCAUGGUGUUAAUUUGGACGGAUAUGUUGUCUGGAUUAUUUGAUUUGGGCUGCGCGUUUGGAGCCUCCUCUUGUUGCAGCUAAAAUAGCUGCAUAAGUAUGUAGCUAAGACCCAUUGCUAGCCCCACCUUUGUGACAUAUGCCUUUUGAGAUUCCAGGGCCCAAAGUGAUGCUUCCUAUAAUCUCGAUUAUACGCUAUAACUCAACUAUUUAGAAGUUUGGUCUUAACUAAAUUAAGUAAAAUGUCCUUUCUUUAUUAUGGACUCUUUUCUCUGUCACAAAAAAAAAAAAAAAAAAAAAAAAAAAAAAAAAAAAGAAAAGAAAAGGGGGGGACUCUUUUGAAUGUAAAUGUUUCAGUGUAACCAUAUUAUAAACUACAAUUUGAGUACUUUUUUCUAUAUUAAAAAGCUUGAAAAA